AAAGUCGUAACAAGGUCUCCGUUGGUGAACCAGCGGAGGGAUCAUUACUGAGUUGCAAAACUCCCAAACCAUUUGUGAACCUACCUAUCGUUGCUUUGGCGGAUACGUCCCCGGCGCCCCCCCGGGCGCCAGGGCGCCCGCCAGGGGAAAACCCAAACUUUUGUAUUACAUGUGAUUUUCAGACCCGCGCGAAAGCGCAAAACAAUGUUAAAACUUUCAACAACGGAUCUCUUGGCUCUG
rnacentral:misc_RNA from 1 species